rnacentral:rRNA from 1 species
UACGAAGGGGGCUAGCGUUGCUCGGAAUCACUGGGCGUAAAGCGCACGUAGGCGGACUCUUAAGUCGGUGGUGAAAUCCUGGAGCUCAACUCCAGAACUGCCUUCGAUACUGGGAGUCUCGAGUCCGGGAGAGGUGAGUGGAACUGCGAAGUGUAGAGGUGAAAUGCGCAGAUAUCAGGAAGAACACCCGUGGCGAAAGCGGCUCUCUGGAACGGUACUGACGCUGAAGACGCGAAAGCGUGGGGAGCGAACAGG